UUUACUAUGUUGGCUAGGCUGGUCUUGAACUCCUGACCUCCAGCGGUCCACUUGCCUUGGCCUCCCGAAGUGCGGGGAUUACAAUCGUGAGCCACUGUGCCCAGCUAAAAUGUAACUUUUGAGUACAAAUAGGAAUAGUAAAAACACCCUAGUUCCCUUAACUUUUGUUUUUUGGGCAUUUUUUUUUUUUUUUGACAUCUUGCUUUUAAAAGGAAAUGUUUAUUUUUAGAGAAAACAGCUAGCCAGGCCAAGUGGCCUGGAGGAACAAGAUCUUGGUAAAUGGCUUAUAUUAGGUUAAUGACUGUUAGAGGUGAAGUGACCUUUUUAUCAGUAUUGUUUGAGAAACUUCCUGGGACCCAAAAUAAUAAUUUUGGGAUUGGGAUUGGGCACUUUGAGGAAUGAGAUAGAAGGUGUUUUCUAACCCUGGAAAUGCAGUCACCUCUGACAUUUGGAACGUGGUUCCCAGGUCUGUCCUGUCACUUUGAGACCAGUGUGCAAACCCACUCAUUCUUCUGUCUUCUAACCUGCACUGGGAAGACCAGGAACCUACUAUUGUAUGUAGAUGUUAAACUGUCUUGCAAUGUUUGAAUGCAGCAAAACAUACUCUUGCAGCAGAAGAUCCACAUGCUGCUUACUCUGUCAUUAAAUCUCUUCCCUUUCGCUAGCCUCCUUUGGCUAAAAUGUUACUCUUUUAUUCAUCUUAGUAUGCUUUAUUGGAGGGAAGACUAAACUAUAAUAAACAGUAACCCUUUUCAAUAUAAUCUAUAUGAUAUCACUAUCCAUAUGAAUAUCCCAGUAGGUUUUUGAGAGGUAUUAUUCUUACUUUUUUAAGAUGAGGAAAAUGAGCCCUAAGGUUAAGUGACUCCGGUUAAGGUCUUAAAUGUCAAAUGUGUAUUAUCUUCAAAUUCUUUUUUUUUAGGCUCAAAAAUAAUAAUAGCUACAAAAUAUUGAGUGUAUACAAUUUUCCCAGAACUGUGCUAAUCACCUCAUUUAUGUUACAGUUUUCACAGUGGUCCUGCAAUAUUAUGAUGUCCUUUUUUUAGAUUAGGUGAACAAGGAUGAGAGAGGUUAAUGUGAUCAUUAUGCCUCUGUUUGAACCCAGAUCUCUUAUUACUCAAAUCCUGAGUUUUUCUAGUUUGUUUCUGCAUUUUCAGAGUCUACUCAUUCAAAAUUUAGCUUCAGAUACCAGCUCCUCUGUUAAAGCUUUUUUCCUCACUCCCAUUAGAAGCUGUGAGGGUGAAUGCAAGUUAGCAAGUGAUUUGUAGUAUUCUUACAAAGAUGAUACCCAGAUGACCUGGGGUUUAUCUUUUGCAUACUGGGCUCUCAAGUACUGUUACAAUCAUGGCCCAGUUUGUUUUAUACAUAAUGAUUUGUGUAUAUACGUAGAUGUUUUCUUUUCCCUUGUACAGAAGUUUGUUGAAGGUGGGGUUUCAGCUAAUUAUGUGCUUUAUAAACAGUAACUGCUAAAUACAUUGUACUGAAAGAAGUCAUAUGUCAGUAAAUAUUUUUUUUAAGCAUGGAUUCCUCUUUAUUUUUCCUUUUACAUCAGAAGUUGGUAUCCUUAGCUGUCCCCCAAGGAAGCUCAGUUCAAUUCAGUAAAUACUGGUUGUAUUUUCUGUUCACAUGACUUUUCUACCCUCACGGAUGUGGGGGUGUAGAGGGAGAAUAAGGAACAGACAAAACUGAAAGAUAUAUUCAGGCUCUCAGCAAAUACGUACAUUGAGAAGCUAUUCAUAGUUACCUUUGCAGAGAUAAAGUAUAGAAGACAAACAGUAAAUCAGCAAUGCUGUUAUCAUCCAAGUUGAAUCUGAUAUAUAAAGGCAUUUUAAAAUAAAGGAUCUUUUGUUUAAUAGAGUUCUAGCCAGAUCCCUAGUACUUUCCCUGGGCCAUCUGUUGGAGCAUGGAAACAUAUACUCUUUGAAUAUACAGUAACCAGGCAUAAUGAUGUUUAGAAAAAUAGAAUUACUUUUGUUACUUUGCUUUCUCAAGCUGGUAUUAAACUAUGUUAUGUGUAAUUCCUUCUUGGUUACUGUAAGUAACAUUGCCAAUAAGGAGCCAGAACAUCUACGCAAAUCCAUUGUAUUUUGAUUAGUGUUUGCUGUGGUUCUCAUUGUAGUGAAGCACGCAGCAAAAGUUUAUUUUCUGUGUUGUAUUCCCUAUAUACAUAGUAGGCAUGUCUAUGAAGUAUUUCCAUUAAUGAAGGAAAAGGGGAAUUUGUCCAUAUUGAGAUCCUUGUCUUGUUAGAUCAGAAAUUUAAAAUACCUUGAGGCUGACUGAGUAUGGGUUCAUUAGAGUGUUUGGUCCUAUCUUGAGUCUAUCUUACUUGGGCUGUUUGCUUCCUGCUUUGGGGUCUGAGGGGGUCAUGAAGCAAUCUAGAUGUUUUUAUAAUUUUAUUUGUGAACUUUACAGGUAUCCUGAGGGGUCUGGGGCUUAUCUUUUGCAUACUGCACUCUCAAGUACUGUAACGUGUAAUUAUUAAAGUGAAGACCUAUUAUAAAAUGAAUGUGGUUAUGCUAUAGAUCAAACCAUUUAGUCGAAAUAAAUUUGUUAUACCAAAAAGACACUUGCACUUGCAUGUUUGUUGCAGCACUGUUCACAAUAGCAAAGACAUGGAAUCAACUUCGGUGCCCAUCGACAGUGAAUUGGAUAGGGAACAUGUGGUACAGCUAUAUCCAUAAAAAAAGAA